UACAUUAUAAUGACUUAUUCAUCUAUGCCCUUGUUGACGGUUAGCUUUUUAAGGGUGUGGACUAUUUCUUAUUCAUUUUUGCACAUAAUAGUACCUGGCAUAUAGUAGGUGGUCAGUAAAUAUUGCUGAAUAAAUGAAUGAAUGAAUAAAAUUAAGAACAGGUCUCAGAAUCAAAGACAUAGGAGGUAUUCCGUAAACGUUGUUGGUUGAAUGAAUGAAUGAAUGAAUGAAGUUUAAAAUGGGUCACAGAAUCAAAGGGUCUUAGGGGUAGAAAGAAUUUGGAAGAACAUCUCCUGCUGGCUUCCUCUGUCAGAAGUGAGAAAACAACUUGGCUGACUUGUACAACUGGGCUGGGUAGGAGAGAUGACCAGUGCCACGGACACUCACUUGGAUGUGGCCUGGAGAUGACUGGAGAAAGUCAUGUGCUCCCGGAGGAGACUGCUGAGAGGAGCAGAGGCCGUGGCCUGCACCACAGGGGGAUGCCACAGUCUCAGAGCAAGAGAGAACGUUUGUGGUUGGAAGUCUGUGGCACAUUCCAGACUGCAGAGUCUCCCCUCAGCUAUUGGCUGCUGCUCUCUCUCUGUCCUCACACUGUGCCAAGACUGUAAGAUUUUCCUGAUGACUGGGCAUAUUCCACAUCUGGAUUCCAUGCUCAUAACAACUAGAAGUUUCCUGUCGUCUUGGGUUGAGGUGAUUAUGAUAUAGAGCUGGGUACCCAUAUCAACAAUUUUGAGGCAGAGUGAUGAUGACCAUGAAAUGUUUCAUUACAAGUUUUCCAGCUGCGGAGGACUUCACCCCACGUGGCAGUGUGGUCCGUGUGGACAGUAACCCCUGGCUCCUACAAACGCUACAGUGUUAGAAUCCAGAGGUGAACAAACCCAGAAAAAAGCCUCAGGCCUUCAUUCAGACUUAAGUGUAUUGGUUUCCUGGGGCUGCCAUAACAAAGAACCACAGACUGGGUGGCGUAAACAACAGGAAUUUAUUGUCUCACUGUUCUGGAGGCCAGAAGUCCAAGAUCAAGGUGUCAGCAGGACCACACUCCCUCUGGGGAAGGAGCUGCUUCAGGCCUCUCUCCCUGCGGCUGGUAGCUCCUUAGCCGGCGGCAGCAUAACUCCAGCCUUCACAUCGUGUGUCUGUCUCUGUGUCCAAAUUCCCUCUUUUUAUAGAACACCAUUCAUACUGGGUUAGGGCUCACCCCAUGACCUCAUCUUGAUCAUCUGUAAAAACCCUAUUUCCAAAUAAGGUCGAAGUCACAGAUUACUGGAUGUUGGACUUCAGCAUAUUUUGAGGGGAUCUAAUUCAACUCAUGACACUAGGUUUUCAUCGUUAGUUUGCGCAGUUUUAAGAAGCCUGGUGAUUGUAAUCUCAGCUAUGGCAGACAGAAAGCCGCAGAUUUAGGAGGAAGGGGCUCUGCAUAGGGCAUUCAAAAGUACUAUUAAAGUAAGAAUAGUAAUUUAAAGUACAAUUGCUUGAGGCCAUUUAAUAUUGGGGCAAGCUGCUGAAAAGUCCCAGUCACCUCUGAGACACAUCUGUGUAUUACAAACGUCGUAAUCGUGUUGAACACAUCAUGCUCGAGUGUGUCUGUGUUUUUAAAUCCCAUCAAAAUGAAAUUUUAAAAUGUUGAUUGCUUGAAGGUACUUUGGUACUUUUUGGUUACUUGAAAAAUUACUUUUUUUGUCAAGCUCCUAGUGUUCUUUUAGAUGUUUUGAGGAUUCGGGUUUGAAGUUUGCUUUGUUACUCCCUAAAUAUGUAUGUUUGAUAAGCCAUUAACAUUUUGGAACCUUGGUUUCCUUGUCUGUAAAAUGAAGAGAGUAUGAUCUACCACAUAAAGUUAUUGUGAGGGUCAACUUUUCCGAUGAAUAUUAAAAUAUCUAAUAUAGUACCAGGUACAUUUUCAGUGCUUUAUGCCUGAUUGUGGAUUCAUUAGACAAAUGUUUGUUGGGAGCCUAUUAUACUCCAGCCUUGUUAUAGAAUUCAUUCAUUCACUUAAUGAUACUGACGCCCUGAUUUAGUAGCAGAAGCCCCAGCUUUCGGAUCGGGACAUCUCAGCUAAAGUCCUGUCUAUGUUUGUAAAUCAUCUAUGUGGAUCUUGGGCAAAUCACUGAUCGUCUCUCAGUCUCUGCUCAGAGCUGAGCCGUGGGCACUAGAUCAUCGAGGCUUUGCCAUUUCUAAAAUUAUUCAUAUAACAAAAUCCAAAUUCAACAAAUAAGGCUCUAGUUCUUGAUCGUCUGCAGAUCCGUGUACAAUCCUGGGACGUUACCCUCUCCGCUUUAGUUUUCUCUCUGAAGUGUGGUAACAGGACUAGUACUGUGUGUUUUCUGACCUCGGUCAUGGCAACGAUGACAGCCGCCCUUGAUUGAGCUUCGACACUGUGCUAGGUACUUGCCAUGCCCUUUUGCUUCUCCAGUAGGGUACGUGUUUCUCCAAAGCAGGUGGGGAUCCAGAGAAAGAUGGUGCUUCCUUCCGGAGAAUAAAUGUUCCUGAAUGGUUGGUGAGAAACACUCCCGCGGUGUUGAGUAAGGACAAGAACAGCUAUAGUAUAUAGAGUGCAGCAUUCCCUUGAAUUGUUAAGCUAAAACGCAGAGAAAUCUGGGGCUUCCUGGAGGGGGCUUCGGCUUCAGUCCCAAGUUCUCCUUCGGGUGCUGUUCACUUUUCUUGACCACUAGGGAGAUUUUGGUGGGAAAGUUUGCAAAACAGACUCUCUUCUUUUGUGUUAGACUCAACAUGAGAAAAAUAGAAUUAUCAUUUAUAAUUUUGAAAAUAGUUCUCGUUUCCAGUACUAAGUGCUACUUUUCCAAUAGUUAAUACGUUCUUCUUAUUCAUUUGACAAAUAAUAAUUGUCUGCUGUGUGUACGGUACCAUUCUACGUGCUGAGGAUACAGCAGCAAACAGUACAGAGCUCUCAUGGAGCGUUUAUUUUAAUAGACAAUGACGUUGGAGGGGAAAUCUGUGGCAGUAAGGGAAUCAACCAUGAGGCUAUUUUUUUUUUUUUGGUAGGGGGGCAGAUUCCAGGCAAAAGAAGCAGCAAGUACAAAGGCCCUGAGGCAGGAGCCUGCUUUAUUAGCAAGGACGAGCAGUAGGAGAUGAGGUCAGAGGGAUACAAAUUAUGUAGGGCCUUGAAAUCAAGGUAAGGCUUUUGGAUUUUAUUCUGAGAAACAAGAGAAGCCAUUGUGGAGGCUUUGGGGAUGGGAGUAGUGGAGCCUGACAUAAUAUUUUAAAAGCUCAUCCUGGCUGCUGGCUGAGAAUAGUGGGGCAGAAUCAGAAGUAGGGAGGGUAGUUGGAAGGCUGCUGUCAGUUCAGGCGAGCGAUGGCGGCACCGUGUACCAGGUGGGAGCGGUAGAAAUGGUGAAAAGUGGCAAGAUUUGGGAUGUGUAUUGAAGGUAGGAUCAACCAAAUUCACGAAUGAUUUGGAUGUGAGGUAUGAGAGAAAGAGAAGGGUCAAGGCUGGCUGCAGAAAUUUUGGCCUAAGCGGCUGUAAGGAUGGAGCCGUUGUCCUUGAUGUUGAGAUGGGCGGUUUGAGGGAGGAGCUUGGGUAAUUCCUCAGUCACUGCAAGAUCUGGCUAAUACGCAGCUUUAAGUGCCAACAUUGAAGCCAGCUGAGAUACUGCUUGGAACUCUCAUGGAAGAGAAGGAGUGAUGUGUCUAUUUUUGUUACCUCUUUUUUACUCAUGGACAUUUAAAAUAAUAAUUUUUAAAUAUUGCCAUGUGCAAACUACUCAUCUUGACCCAGGAGCCCUCCCUGCUGUCUGGUCUGAGGACUCUCGUCCUCUCCAGACUUUCUGCCGUUUCCCCACGCCCUACGACACCUCUUCCCCAGCUGGACUGGUGACAGGAAUCUGGUCUUCUCCACCCUGGCAGUUUGAAAUAACUAGCAGUUCUUAAAUUUUCUUCCUGGCCAUGCUGCAAGCGGUCGGGUGCCCUGGGCAUCGAUGUUUUGAUAUCUGUGCUCUGAGGCUUUGUCCUGGGGAACCGAUUAGUGGCCGGUGCGUUGAACUCAGACUGUGGACUUGGAGCCCGGAACCCCGGAGAGGUCUCUUAGGUGCGGGCAGAACUGGUGUGGGGGAUGUGCUAAGGGUUUCUGGCUACAAAGGGGCAAUUUAAAAAUUGGCAGGUAAAACUGGCCUAGAUGAGGAUCUGUUUUAUGCUUAAAAUUACAAAAUUGGUUCAGAACAGCCUGAUGUGCAGCGUGCUGAGCCUUUAUUAAACAUUAUAGAGGUCAUUGCUUGUCUUCCUGGUGCCUCUUUCCUCGCCUUUCUUCUGUGACCCACAUUGAGCCAAUGGUAGAGCCCGCCCUCUGGCCUCCGUGAUAGAACCAAGGAGCAGAACAUGACCUCCCCCAGGCCAAUCAGACGGGGAAAGACCUUUCUCCGAUGGUAAGUCAUUGAGAGUGAAAACCUAAAACCUGAGCAGCCAGGUCGUCGGCCUCCUAGGAAAGGCAGCCUGAGAGGACGAGCCAACCUCUGAAGGGAGAGAGAGUUUAGAGGCAAACGAGAGAGCGCCCUGAAGGGCGUUGACAUCCUCUCUGCUGCUGGAAGCUCCUUCGUGCCCCUCUCAGGGAUGGGUACAGAGACUGAGAACCUUAACUGUGGCUGCCUGCUGUCGUGGUGGUAAUUACAACCACAGGAGCCCUGGUCCCCCUACAUCGAGCGGGAGCGCCAUAAUGACUGACUCAUGGUCCUGCCUCCGGUAUUUAUAAGCUAAUGGUUUGAUUUUGCAACUAGUGAGUACAGUAAGAUGAUUGAUAAACUCUGCCCUUCGCAAAUCAAUAGAUGGUGUCCUUUUAAAGUGUGAAGAAUCAAGAAUAUAAAAAAUUUUUGUUUGGUCGAUUUAUCCAGCAAUUAUCACCUGGAUAUUAGCUUUCUCCAUGACUGGGCUAUUUGCUGUUUGAUAUUUUGCAGACCCACUUCCAAGUGGAUUUCCAACAUCAUCUGUUAGAAUCGUCAUCCUUCGAGGUCUAUUUCCACAGCCACAUUCACCACCAGAAUUAAUCACUCCUUUUGUGCAUAUGCAACCCUUGCUCUGUUCCUCUGUGCUUCCUAUGCUUGUGCGACCCUUGCACUCCCACAGAUUAUAAACUAUGGGCCAGAGACUUGCAUCUCUGAGUCUCCUUGUUGCAGAGAACAGUUCCUUGAAUGUUCACUAAAUGUCUGUUGAGUUAAAUCAACUGUUAGCACUGGUUUUGCUAAUAACUUUUGUGUACGAUUCCUUCAACUUUACAAACCACUUCUGUAUAAAACCACAUGGAAAAUUUGGUUGUAUGAUUUGAGGGAAGCAUUAAAGGUAUAACUGACAAAAUCGAUAGAGAUACAUGGCCUUAAAAGGUAGGGAUAGGUAUUUAGCUAUUGAUAUGCAUUCGAUAGAAAGGGAGAACUUGGAAGAUUUUUAGAUGAAGAUGAGCCAGAAGAUGAGUUGGUAGGUACCAGGUGAACACACCUGUGUUCAUAAGACGAGUGUGUUGACUGCCAGAGAAUUGACCAUAGGCGAGUUCUGAGGGGUCGAGCCUCUUCUCUUCCCAACCUGCUGGUUACAUUUAUGUGAACUGUCUGGAGGGGAUGAUUUAUGGAUAGAUUAAGAAGUAUGAGUUCUGGGCUUCCAUCUCCACUUGCUUUAACC